rnacentral:lncRNA from 1 species
CUAGUUAACAAAAAAAAGAGUACAAAGUUGCUAUGUAAGAUUAAAAGAAGAGAGUACAAAGUUGUUAAGUUUAGAGGCCAGAAAUGCUUUUAAAACAAAUGAGAACCACUAACCAAAUCUGUUUUGGUCUACCGGCGGAAGUCCUCCCUGAAAUCGAACCACUGGUGAUGUCUUCGUUUCUUCCGUAAGCCGCGAUCUUCCGUAGCCUUGUACUCCCAGAGCAACAUCUCUUUUGCUCAUAAUAAAUGCUUUUGGACUGAAGAACUUGACUCGCCAGUGAUCAAAACACAGGAAAAUCUGAUAGAUCUAAAGAGAGACACAUUCUCGGACCGCUCCCAUCGGAGAAUGCCAGCCUCUGAUUCUCACCUGGGUCAAAAAACCAACUCCAAAUCCAUUAAAUUUCUUCCAAGCAGAGAUAUUUUACUCAUAAGCCGAGCAAAGACCGAUACUCAUAUGAAAGAAAUAUAUUUAUAGCCAUAGAUGAAGCACAUUGAACAAAAGCAAAGCCUAACAAAAGCAGAUUAAAAUACUAAAUAGAUUCAAGAAAGAGAAACUAAAUAUAAUCCAUCUAAAUAGGGAAGUU